rnacentral:piRNA from 1 species
AGUUUCUUUUCCAAGAUCCGAGGUUUGA